CCUACGGGAGGCAGCAGUGAGGAAUAUUGGUCAAUGGACGAGAGUCUGAACCAGCCAAGUAGCGUGAAGGAUGACUGCCCUAUGGGUUGUAAACUUCUUUUAUAAAGGAAUAAAACGAGGCACGUGUGCCUUUUUGUAUGUACUUUAUGAAUAAGGAUCGGCUAACUCCGUGCCAGCAGCCGCGGUAAUACGGAGGAUCCGAGCGUUAUCCGGAUUUAUUGGGUUUAAAGGGAGCGUAGAUGGGUUGUUAAGUCAGUUGUGAAAGUUUGCGGCUCAACCGUAAAAUUGCAAUUGAUACUGGCAGUCUUGAGUACAGUAGAGGUGGGCGGAAUUCGUGGUGUAGCGGUGAAAUGCUUAGAUAUCACGAAGAACUCCGAUUGUGAAGGCAGCUUACUAAACUGUGACUGACAUUGAUGCUCGAAAGUGUGGGUAUCAAACAGGAUUAGAUACCCGGGUAGUC
rnacentral:rRNA from 1 species